UACGUAGGUGGCGAGCGUUGUCCGGAUUUACUGGGCGUAAAGGGAGCGUAGGCGGACUUUUAAGUGAGAUGUGAAAUACUCGGGCUCAACCCGGGGGCUGCAUUUCAAACUGAAAGUCUAGAGUGCAGGAGAGGAGAGUGGAAUUCCUAGUGUAGCGGUGAAAUGCGUAGAGAUUAGGAAGAACACCAGUGGCGAAGGCGGCUCUCUGGACUGUAACUGACGCUGAGGCUCGAAAGCGUGGGGAGCAAACAGG
rnacentral:rRNA from 1 species